rnacentral:lncRNA from 1 species
CCCAUAAAUCAUUCUUCCAGUGCGAGUCAGUGGGCUGUGAUAUGAUCAAGAAACAAUCCUGUUACUAGUUGCAUGUCACUGAGAGUUUGGGAUUGUUACAUCCCUGACUCUGCUCUGACUAAUACAAAAUCUGCUGAAUAGAAGAACUCAAAUGAACCCAGCUGUUUAGGGAUUUUUUAAUGUCAUGUGUGGGAAAGAACAAGAUUGCUUGAUUUCCAGGAAGUUUAGAAAAAUGAAAGUGAGAGAGAAUCCCAUGGACAGCUUUCACUAAGAAGGCCCCAAGCCGGGACUGAGUCAGAGGGAGACGGUCACAACGAAGGAAGGCACAUUGUCUUAUUCCUGGGACACGCGAAGGCUGAUUCCAGUGGGUGUGGUUUUACCCAGGAUGUAUCUCAGGACUGACUUUAGUCCUAUUUGGAAAGAAACUUAGGCUUAAACCAUGAAAAGGUUCAUUUUUCUCUCAAGCUCAGAGUUAUGCAGUCCAAGGCAUUAUGAGAUCCAGCGUGACAUCAGGGACCUCGGCUUUCCCUUAUUCCUCCUAUACAGAUAAUCCAAAAAUCCAAGGCAAUUUCAUCAUCUUCCUUGCAGCCAAGGGCAGCCAAAUGAUUCAGGGCCAUCUGCUGAAGUCAAGGCGGCUGACAAUGGCUGGGAGAAGCUCCUGAGAGGUGGGCUUAAGAAAGUGAGUGAAUAAUAAGGUUGAUCCCAGACUGAGGCACAAGUGAAACAGUGCUGAAUACAACCACCGGCAGUGCCAGCGCUUGCCUUUAACUUCACACUCACAGCCUCUGAAGGUGAAAUCCUUUAGGACACAGUGCAAUAAAUUCCAGGUUCCUGCGAGCAGGGAAGGAACUGGGGAAGCUGAAGAAGGGAAGAAAAAGAAAGAGAGGAGAGGGAGGAGAAGGAGAGAGGAAGGAAGAAGGGAAGGGGAGGAGGAGGGAAGAGAAGGGGAGAGAAGGAAAGUAAAGAAGGGGACAGGGAAGGGAAGGAAUCAAAGGAGACUUUCUCUUGGUUUUGGUUGCAUAGGGAAGCU